UGGACACACCAGACACACAGACACACACACUUCACAGGUCACCCUCACACACUGCCUGCAGGUCUGGGAACCUCACACACACACAGGGAGAGCAUUUCUGCUGUGGAAUUUUGUCGCUGUGAGAGAGUUCUGUGGUGGUGGAAUAGUUCUGUGGCUGUGAGAGAGUUCUGUCGGAACUGACCUGCUGGGUUUGAGAUGUGACCCGUCAGAGCCAUGACUGACCGAGUGACAUCAUGACCGAGGCCCCGAGUGGCUGAGAGCAGGGAGGACAGUGGUGUGUGUGUCUGGACCAGGAGGCAGCAUGACGGGGGUGGCAGUGUGCUUCGGGGCGGUCAACUCCAUCAAGGCGCUCUGGGAGACCAGGAUCAAGAAGAGCAAAGAUGACCAGCAGAAGCAACGAGAGCUCCGGGACCGGGCAGCCGUGGGACGGCUGACAGGGCCAUGGGAGGACCGCAUUGCUCUGAACAAGCUCCGAGAGCGAAUCGUGACGGAGGAUGGACGAGUCAUCCUGCGCAUACAAAAGGAGGAGUGGAAGACCCUUCCUGCUGCGCUGGUCCAGCUGUCAGAGGUGCACGAGUGGCAGCUUCACCGCACCGGCCUGCAGCAGAUCCCGCGCUUCAUCAGCAGCUUCCAGCAGCUCAUCGUCCUCGACCUCUCCCGCAACGCCAUCACCCACAUCCCCAAAGAGAUCGGUAAGCUAACGAGGCUGCGGGAGCUUGUGGUCAGCUAUAACCGCGUGAGCAGCGUCCCAGAGGAGCUGGGCAACUGUGAGAGUCUGGAGAAACUGGAGCUGGCCAUGAACCGGGACCUGGACGAGCUUCCAGAACAGCUGAGCAACCUGAAGAAGCUGCAUCACCUGGACCUGUCCAUGAACCAGUUCACCGAGAUCCCCGAGUGUGUGGUCAACCUGCCCGCUCUCGAGUGGCUGGACAUGGGAGGCAACCAGCUGACGAGACUCCCUGACGACAUACACAGGAUGGAGAAGGUCCAUACCCUGUGGCUCCAGCGGAACGAGCUGGAGCAUCUCCCUGGCAACAUCAGCCGCAUGCACAACCUGGACACUCUGGUGCUGACAGGCAACCGCCUCAAGGACAUCCCCAGCCUGAUGGAGGACAUGAACAACCUCAGGUUUGUGAAUUUCCGUGACAACCCUCUGACGUGGGACGUGACGCUGCCGGAGGCGGCGGCCGAUGGUCCGGAGGACGACGACGACAGGGAGAUGUUCGGACGAGAGUUCAUGCAGCUGUACAUCAGGGAGUCGCGCAAGAGAGACUCCCAGGCCACGUUUACGUCAGUGCUGAAUGUGACGCUGGAAGAUGUGUGUGAGACGCCACCACUCUCUUGACUGUCCUUCAUGUUGGCCUCUGCACUUCCUGCUUCCUGUCAGGCGGCCAUUGUCCGCGUCCUGUCCUUCCUGCUUCCUGUCAGGCGGCCAUGUCCUCGUCCUGUCCUCCCUGCUUCCUGGCGGCCAUGUUUUUGUCCUGUCCUUCUUGUCAUGUUUGAACACAUGUCCCUUUUAUGCUCCUAAUGAAUGGCUCAUGAUGUGAUGAUGUCAGCAAAAAAGUGUGUGUCUAUAGUUGUUAGACAACUAUAGUAGCAGGAGAGUGUGUAUUGUUGUUUGUGUGUUUUGUUCACCUGCCAGCCGAUGCUCGUCCAGUGUUGUGUGUGAUGUCACGCCAGUGAUGACACGUAGGAGUCUUUUCUGAUAUCUAACCCAUACCCACACCUCAAAACAAAUAAAACAUGGAUGAAACUCAGGACUCCCAGUGGAGUCCUACAGCUGCCUCAUUGGCCAAUCAGAAGAGGAACAAAAACAAGUCGGAGGAGACGCUGUCCCCUCUUGAUGAUGUAAGCCUGGUCCCUUGCUAUAUCAGCAGCGGCACGAGACGCUGUCCCCUCUUGAUGAUGUAAGCCUGGUCCCUUGCUAUAUCAGCAGCGGCACGAGACGCUGUCCCCUCUUGAUGAUGUAAGCCUGGUCCCUUGCUAUAUCAGCAGCGGCACCCCUGUGUGGCCGGGGCGGGGCACAGCGGUGAGCAGCACGUUCUCCAGCGAGAUGUCCGGAGUGGUGUAGGACCUCAGGCCGGCCUCCAGGCCUCGCUGCUGCAGGUAGUGGACUCUGCCCUGGUCAAUCAGCAACUUACACAGCCGGCCGAUGUGCUCACGCUCCUCCACAGACAAGCUGCCGGGAGGAACACACACACACACACACACACACACACACACAUUACGGACUCAGUCACACUAUUUCCAUGAUGGUUAAACUGCUGCACUAGCCCCCAGCUCCAAGUUCCACUCUCUCAGUCUGCGUCUACACUGUUGAAGUGUGUCAGCAAUGAAUUAUCUUUGUGACGCUGUGUCGGGGCCCGCGGUGCCCUCCGUGGUGCCCUCUGUGAUGCCCGCGCUGGCCACUGCUGUGCCCUCUCUGUGCCCACCGGCUCGGCUCAUGCCACACGUGGCCCAGCUGGACAUGCGCUGGAAGGCCCCGAACUCGGC